rnacentral:rRNA from 1 species
UACGGGGGGGCAAGCGUUGUUCGGAAUUACUGGGCGUAAAGGGCGUGUAGGUGGCCAACUAAGUCAUACGUGAAAUCCCUCGGCUUAACCGGGGAACUGCGUCUGAUACUGGAUGGCUUGAGUUCGGGAGGAGGAGUAGCGGAAUUCCAGGUGUAGCUGGUAGAAAUGCGUAGAUAUCUGGAGGAACACCGGUGGCGAAGGCGGCAUCCUGGACCGAUACUGACGCUGAGGAGCGAAAGCCAGGGGAGCAAAGCGGG